rnacentral:rRNA from 1 species
UACGUAGGGUGCAAGCGUUGUCCGGAAUUAUUGGGCGUAAAGAGCUCGUAGGCGGUUUGUCGCGUCUGCUGUGAAAACCCGAGGCUCAACCUCGGGCCUGCAGUGGGUACGGGCAGACUAGAGUGCGGUAGGGGAGAUUGGAAUUCCUGGUGUAGCGGUGAAAUGCGCAGAUAUCAGGAGGAACACCGGUGGCGAAGGCGGGUCUCUGGGCCACUACUGACGCUGAGAAGCGAAAGCAUGGGGAGCGAACAGG